rnacentral:tRNA from 1 species
GCGAGCGUGGCGGAAUGGCAGACGCGCUAGGUUCAGGACCUAGUGGGUGCAAGCCCGUGGAGGUUCAACUCCUCUCGCUCGCACCA